rnacentral:rRNA from 1 species
CCUUAAUGCGUCAAGUCGAACGCACGAAGUUAAAGAGCUUCUCUUUAACCAAGUGAGUGGCGGACGGGGUGAGUAACACGUGGGUAACCUGCCCAUUAGAGGGGGAUAACAUUCGGAAACGGAUGCUAAUACCGCAUAGUUUCAGGGAUCGCAUGAUUCUUGAAGGAAAGGUGGCUUCGGCUACCACUAAUGGAUGGACCCGCGGCGUAUUAGCUAGUUGGUGAGGUAAUGGCUCACCAAGGCAAUGAUACGUAGCCGACCUGAGAGGGUGAUUGGCCACACUGGGACUGAGACACGGCCCAGACUCCUACGGGAGGCAGCAGUAGGGAAUCUUCCGCAAUGGACGAAAGUCUGACGGAGCAACGCCGCGUGAGUGAAGAAGGUUUUCGGAUCGUAAAACUCUGUUGUUAAAGAAGAACAAGGAUGAGAGUAACUGCUCAUCCCCUGACGGUAUUUAACCAGAAAGCCACGGCUAACUACGUGCCAGCAGCCGCGGUAAUACGUAGGUGGCAAGCGUUGUCCGGAUUUAUUGGGCGUAAAGCGAGCGCAGGCGGUUCUUUAAGUCUGAUGUGAAAGCCCCCGGCUCAACCGGGGAGGGUCAUUGGAAACUGGAGAACUUGAGUGCAGAAGAGGAGAGUGGAAUUCCACGUGUAGCGGUGAAAUGCGUAGAUAUGUGGAGGAACACCAGUGGCGAAGGCGACUCUCUGGUCUGUAACUGACGCUGAGGCUCGAAAGCGUGGGGAGCAAACAGG